rnacentral:rRNA from 1 species
UCCCUAUGGGGUGCAGCAGGCGAGAAAACUUUGCAAUGUGCGAAAGCACGACAAGGUUAAUCCGAGUGAUUUCUGCUAAAGAAAUCUUUUGCAAGUCGUAAAAUCACUAGUGAAUAAGGGGUGGGCAAGUUCUGGUGUCAGCCGCCGCGGUAAAACCAGCACCUCAAGUGGUCAGGAUGAUUAUUGGGCCUAAAGCAUCCGUAGCCGGCUUUGUUAGUUUUCGGUUAAAUCUAUGCGCUCAACGCAUAGGCCGCCGAAAAUACUGCAGAGCUAGGGAGUGGAAGAGGUAGACGGUACUCGGUAGGAAGGGGUAAAAUCCUUUGAUCUAUUGAUGACCACCUGUGGCGAAGGCGGUCUACCAGAACACGUUCGACGGUGAGGGAUGAAAGCUGGGGGAGCAAACCGGAUUAGAUACCCGGGUAGUCCCAGCUGUAAACGAUGCAGACUCGAUGAUGCAUUGGCAUAUAGCUAGUGCAGUAUCGCAGGGAAGCCGUUAAGUCUGCCGCCUGGGAAGUACGUACGCAAGUAUGAAACUUAAAGGAAUUGGCGGGGGAGCACCACAAGGGGUGAAGCCUGCGGUUCAAUUGGAGUCAACGCCAGAAAUCUUACCCGGAGAGACAGCAGAAUGAAGGUCAGCUGAAGACCUUACCAGACGCGCUGAGAAGAAGUGCAUGGGCAAA